CAGCCGCCGCGGGAAUACCGAGGGUGCGAGCGUUAAUCGGAUUUACUGGGCGUAAAGCGUGCGUAGGCGGCUUCUUAAGUCGGAUGUGAAAUCCCUGAGCUUAACUUAGGAAUUGCAUUCGAUACUGGGAAGCUAGAGUAUGGGAGAGGAUGGUAGAAUUCCAGGUGUAGCGGUGAAAUGCGUAGAGAUCUGGAGGAAUACCGAUGGCGAAGGCAGCCAUCUGGCCUAAUACUGACGCUGAGGUACGAAAGCAUGGGGAGCAAACAGGAUUAGAUACCCGCGUAGUCCCUGUCUCUUAUAA
rnacentral:rRNA from 1 species